AGCUUUGCGCAGUGGCAGUAUCGUAGUCAAUGAGGUUUAUCCGAGCGUGAUUAUUGCUAAUUGAAAGAGUUAAAAGAUANNN
rnacentral:snRNA from 1 species